rnacentral:rRNA from 1 species
GACGUAGGAUGCAAGCGUUGUCCGGAUUUAUUGGGCGUAAAGAGUUCGUAGGUGGUUUGUUAAGUCUGAUGUUAAAGACCGGGGCUCAACUUCGGGACUGCAUUGGAUACUGGCAGACUUGAGUGUGGUAGAGGCAAUCGGAAUUCCAGGUGUAGCGGUGAAAUGCGUAGAUAUCUGGAAGAACACCGGUGGCGCAAGCGGAUUGCUGGGCCAUAACUGACACUGAGGAACGAAAGCUAGGGGAGCGAAUGGG